AGGAUUGUAGUUAAAAAUAACAUUUGGGUUGCAUUCAAAAGGUGCCUGAUGGGCCUAUCUUG
rnacentral:tRNA from 1 species